rnacentral:rRNA from 1 species
ACUUCUUUAUCACCGAGUGCUUGCACUCACCGAUAAAGAGUUGAGUGGCGAACGGGUGAGUAACACGUGGGCAACCUGCCCAAAAGAGGGGGAUAACACUUGGAAACAGGUGCUAAUACCGCAUAACCAUAGUUACCGCAUGGUAACUAUGUAAAAGGUGGCUAUGCUACCGCUUUUGGAUGGGCCCGCGGCGCAUUAGCUAGUUGGUGGGGUAAAGGCUUACCAAGGCAAUGAUGCGUAGCCGAACUGAGAGGUUGAUCGGCCACAUUGGGACUGAGACACGGCCCAAACUCCUACGGGAGGCAGCAGUAGGGAAUCUUCCACAAUGGGCGAAAGCCUGAUGGAGCAACGCCGCGUGGGUGAAGAAGGUCUUCGGAUCGUAAAACCCUGUUGUUAGAGAAGAAAGUGCGUGAGAGUAACUGUUCACGUUUCGACGGUAUCUAACCAGAAAGCCACGGCUAACUACGUGCCAGCAGCCGCGGUAAUACGUAGGUGGCAAGCGUUAUCCGGAUUUAUUGGGCGUAAAGGGAACGCAGGCGGUCUUUUAAGUCUGAUGUGAAAGCCUUCGGCUUAACCGGAGUAGUGCAUUGGAAACUGGGAGACUUGAGUGCAGAAGAGGAGAGUGGAACUCCAUGUGUAGCGGUGAAAUGCGUAGAUAUAUGGAAGAACACCAGUGGCGAAAGCGGCUCUCUGGUCUGUAACUGACGCUGAGGUUCGAAAGCGUGGGUAGCAAACA